rnacentral:snRNA from 1 species
GGAUGUGAGGGCGAUCUGUCUGCGACAUCUGUCACCCCAUUGAUCGGCAGGGUUGAUGCGACUAAUCUGGCUGGCUAGGCAGGUGUCCCCCUCCUCCCUCACCGAUCCAUGUGCGUCCGUCCUGAAGCUGCGCGCUCGAAGAGGACGACCUUCCCCCCCGCCCCCCAGGAGAGGACCGGUCUUCGGUCAAGGGUAUACGAGUAGCUGCGCUCCCCUGUUAGAACCUCCAAACAAGCUCUCAAAUGUUACAGGUUUGAUUCCCAGUCAGGACACAUACGGGGGUCAAUCAAUCGAUGUUUCUCUUUCACAUCGAUGU